rnacentral:lncRNA from 12 species
AAUAUUUCAGUACAGCAGUAUGCAUUUCCUUUCUUUUCUGUCAGUAAUCAGAUUUUGUAAAUGUUUGGGUAUUUCAAGAAAGACGUGGAAAGAGUUGAAAAGAGAAAAAUCCUACAUUGUUGAGAAUACAGUAUUCUUUGAGACCAGUAUCUUGGAAGGUUUCUGGACAACAGUGUAAUCGAAGGAGGAAAAGGCAAAGCGUCUGUGGGCACUGGGCAUGGCCCACAAAGUCUGGGAAAAGGAGAGGGAAUUAUUGACAAGUCAAGAAAGGGUGCCUGACUGUAGAGACUUCCUGAACUCCACUCCUGGACCAGUUAAAAGAAGAUUGAAAUUGAAAUUAAUACCUAAAUGUAGAAGCAUGAUGAACUGCCUGUCGCUAACAAAAUGAACCUUGGACUCCCUAACUGAUCUCUUGUCCUUGAGAGAAAAUAUCAUUUGGCCUAGGGGUAAGUCAAUUAAUCUAUAUUGAAGUAAAGAUCAUUUAUUCUUUUAAUAGACUGCAGACAUAAAACCUCUUUUUAGAAGACAUCUUUUAUGUUUGUUAGCUUGUUCAAC